rnacentral:rRNA from 1 species
UCGAGAAUCUUCCGCAAUGGGCGCAAGCCUGACGGAGCGACGCCGCGUGGAGGACGAAGGCCCUUGGGUUGUAAACUCCUGUCACGGGUUAUGAAUGCACUGGUGUUAAUAGCAUCAGUAUUGACGUAUGCCCGAGAGGAAGCACCGGCUAACUCUGUGCCAGCAGCCGCGGUAAUACAGAGGGUGCAAACGUUGUUCGGAAUCACUGGGCAUAAAGCGCACGUAGGCGGUUCUGUAAGUGUGAAGUGAAAGCCCACGGCUCAACCGUGGAAUUGCUUUGCAUACUGCAGGACUCGAGGACGGUAGGGGAGAGCGGAACUCCUGGUGGAGCGGUGAAAUGCGUAGAUAUCAGGAGGAACACCGGUGGCGAAGGCGGCUCUCUGGUCCGUUUCUGACGCUGAGGUGCGAAAGCCAGGGUAGCGAACGGGAUUAGAUACCCCCGUAGUCC